GAUGAACGCUGGCGGCGUGCUUAACACAUGCAAGUCGAACGAUGAAGCCCAGCUUGCUGGGUGGAUUAGUGGCGAACGGGUGAGUAACACGUGAGUAACCUGCCCUUGACUCUGGGAUAAGCGCUGGAAACGGCGUCUAAUACCGGAUACGAGCUUCCACCGCAUGGUGAGUUGCUGGAAAGAAUUUCGGUCAAGGAUGGACUCGCGGCCUAUCAGGUAGUUGGUGAGGUAACGGCUCACCAAGCCGACGACGGGUAGCCGGCCUGAGAGGGUGACCGGCCACACUGGGACUGAGACACGGCUCAGACUCCUACGGGAGGCAGCAGUGGGGAAUAUUGCACAAUGGGCGCAAGCCUGAUGCAGCAACGCCGCGUGAGGGACGAAGGCCUUCGGGUCGUAAACCUCUUUUAGCAGGGAAGAAGCGAAAGUGACGGUACCUGCAGAAAAAGCACCGGCUAACUACGUG
rnacentral:rRNA from 1 species